UACGAGUGCCCCAAGCGUUAUCCGGAAUCAUUGGGCGUAAAGGGUGCGUAGGCGGUGCAGCAAGUCGGGAGUGAAAUACCUCAGCUUAACUGAGGAACUGCUCUCGAUACUGCUGUGCUUGAGUGAGACAGAGGUAAGCGGAACUUAGGGUGGAGCGGUGAAAUGCGUUGAUAUCCUAAGGAACACCGGUGGCGAAGGCGGCUUACUGGGUCUCUACUGACGCUGAGGCACGAAAGCCAGGGUAGCAAACGGG
rnacentral:rRNA from 1 species